rnacentral:lncRNA from 1 species
UAUCAGUUCAUGACUUCAUGUGCUAGAUCGCUUUCGCCAGCCAUCCAGCAGCCCUGUUUCGCAACGUUGUUUCGCACUUUAGCAUGGGAAUGAAACACCAUUCAGCGGCUAAACCGCGAAACAAACCAUCUUGAUUCGCACCGCGUUUCGCGUUUUAGUCGCUGUUCGUUUCGCGCUUCGUUUCCGCGUUUUAGGGACACCCGACUAAAAUCAAAAUGACGGUGCAAUUCGGGAAUUUUUUAUUUAUGUUUUAAAUUCACCCUAUUUUGAAAAAUAUCUUUAUAUCAGUAAUAUUGUUAAUAAAUUGACUUUUUUUUUAUUCUUAUGUUAGCAGGAAAAACCUAAAGCUGGAGGAUGAUGCAUAUAUUUCUCAUUACUAGUUUUGUAAACAAAAGAGUCAGAGAACUAUGUGUGGAAUCUGAUUUUCUAGCCCUGGAAACCCCAGGUGCCUUUCUGCUUAAACAAGGCUAGAAAGCAAUUAUAAUUACAGUAGGUCCUAACGCAGUGUAUGUGUUUGAUGCCCUACUAUACAACCCAGCAAUAUUUAGGCUGCGGUCUUCCAGUGCUAGGAAUUUGUUAUGGCAAGCAAAUAUUUAACAAGGAGUUAGGUGGAGAGAAAAGAUUUUCGCGAUGGGCAAUUCGAGAUACAAGUAGAAACGGAGUGCCCAUUGUUUAAAGACUUAGAGACUCGGCAAAUGGUAUUGCUACCCCAUGGUGACAGCGCAGACAAGGUUGCAGAAGGGUUGCGUUGCGUCGCAAAAUCUUCGCGUCAUAUCAUUUACGCCAUUGCUGAUACUGAACACCGUCUUUACGGAGUCCAGUUCCAUGAUUUGACUGAAAACGGACGAAAAAUGUUGCGCAUAACUUAUUGUUGAACAUGUGUGGAUUGCAAGGAGGUUUCACAUUGGAGAAACGCGAGCAGCAGUGUAUCGAUUACAUCCGGCGUACGGUCGGACGUGAGAAGAUCAUUCUCUUGCUGAUAAGCGGCGAAGUCGAUUCCACCGUUUGUGUUGCCCUUCUCCAUAAAGCACUUCUACAGGGUGACGACUCGUCACGAGUGUAGACCAUCCAUAUCGAUAACGGUUUCCUGCGUAAAGAUGAAUCCGAGCAGGUCGUCACAACUUUACAGCAACUCAGGCUCAAUCAUCGGGUUGUUAAUGCAAGUUUGACUUUCUAUGACGCUUCCACCAACGUGGUCGCCAAACUUUGUCGUUGUGUCGAACUGCUAAUCCGGAAGAAAAGGGUCGAAUUAUUGGCGAUACGUUUAAAACGACCAACGAUUUAAAUGUCACUUGUUAUAAUCUACUUCUCGGACAAGAUAUGAAAAUAUUACAGUUUCUUUGAGACCGGAUUUAAUUGAGUCCGCUUCACAUAUGGCUGCUUCGCGUGCUUAUGCCAUAAAGACUUAUGACGAUUCGAGUGACACGAGCACACGACUUUCUUAUUUCUUAGUCCUUACUCGCAUAGAAAUAUUUAAUGUGGAUUUGGGGGAUGGAGGUUGCGCUUGCUUCGCUUCAAUCAUCAUUUUGUGCGCCAUCAAAUUCUAAACGUUUGGAAAGCACAAAUUUUGAUCCAUAUUUAAAUUGGUAUAAUAAAUGAAGUACCGGCAUCA